GAAGUCAACCUCUACUUGCCUGGUUUGGUGUCCCCUUCCCCCAGUUCUGCUUCUGGACUUUCAUGCCCUGGUCCUUUUCUCCCCUGAUUCUACCUGCUUUUGCUCCAGUCUUCAAGAUCCAAGUCUCCAAGGUUAAGGAUGGAUUGAGCAUUGCUGGGCCUACCCCAAGGGACAGUGUGGCGGUGGAUCAUGUGACUUUUGCCAUAAAGUAAACCCAUAGAGAAUGAUAGAGGACUCUAGUGCCCAAAAGCCUAUUUUAGCAUGGGCAGCACCAUUGUAGUCAACUGGGUGGGACUUUCUAUGGAUUAAGGAAGGAUCACAUAAUUCCAUCCAGCUCAUCAGGAGUAAUCAGCUGAGGAAUUAUACUUGUGAGCAAAAUUCCCAUAACUGCAGGUGGCAGUAAAUCUCCAACCUUGGCUUUAUACCUGUUCAAACACUCCAUGUGGCAGUAUACACCUUUUCAGCUUGUUUACCAACUAAUCGAAGUAGAAGGAAAUUGACUACUUCAAAAUGGAGAUGGCCUCAAUGGCACUGCUCGUGUACACAGACGCUGUAAGGGGAGAGAUAAGAGUUCUCUAUCUUUCUCUGAGUAAACCAGACCUAGACACUGUAUCACCUGGAACAUCAGAGACUGAUGAAUACGGUCUACAAAGAUCUCAUCUCAGCCUGCUAUAAUGAUUUAAGACUGAAGUCAGCUAUUCAUUACUUAUUUUAAUAAAUAGUUGUAGUUUCCACAUUCAUUUAGUGGUUAAAAUGUAAUCAAUGUAUUGUAGAAGGUCUGAAUGUGCUCCAGCAAUAUGUGCAAGGGUUUUAGAAGCCACGCCCUUGUCUCUUUCCAUUAAAGGUCAGGUUCCACUCAACAAUGUCCAUAGCAACAAUUUUAGGUAUGAAAAGGUUGAAGUGUAACAACAUAACACAUUCUCUCAUCUUGUACUGCUGUAUCACAUAAGUCAUUACUGUUCAAACCAUUUUAAUUAGUUAUUUUCUUCCCUGUGUGUGGGAUGUGUUGCCUGUGAUCGGUGAGUUGCCUGUGUCCACUCCUCUCUGACAGGACACAUUUUGGUUCAAACAAAACUUUAUUAACAUAUUGUUUAAUCAAAACAGGUACUGAACAUAGGUCAUCAAUAAAAGGGUAUUUUGAUCAAAAAAUGCUGUAGUACAUUAACCAUUACUGGAAAUAUCGCUGAUGACUUUGCUGCUUCAGUACAUGCAGUUGCACAUAAAACCAAAGCCUUUCUCAAGUUUAACAGAGCAUAAACUAAAUGGAUGCGUUUGUAGCAGUGGAAUACGGGUACAGUUUUACAAUAUGAUUGAGGUAACCGAAGAGAAACAAAUCACACAUUGAGGGAAUAUGGUUAUUGAUAGACAGAACAAUGUGAGUCUCAUGAAAGUGAUAUGUUGUAUAAGCUGCAAGUCUGUUAUAUUGCUUUUCUUUGGCAGUGCCAUCUCAAUUUCACAUCCACGGAAGUUGUAGAUACUUAAUACUUAAAAAAAUUAAAAUAAACAUUGUAUUGAGUUUAUUUUUUCAGUAGAUUCAACAUAACACAAUACAAGGUACCA